rnacentral:sRNA from 1 species
CCGGUCCGACAGAUCAACUGUUGCCCUCGACCCCAGUCAACAACUGUAUAAUGUUUUCAUAUCCUGUAACGUUGUAUAAGCCGUACUUAGGUUUAAUGUACAAUAAUGACACAGCUACAUGUAAGCAUGUAGUACAUGUGUGUUGGCAGACAUGCGUCUUAAAAGAAUUAAUUUUAAAGUAUAUAUUACGUAUCCACAUUUAUCCUUCUUAGAACGAAUAAGUAACUAUGAGAAAAAAAAUAAUUCAUCCAAAAAAAAAAAAAUUAAAUGGUCACUUACAUACAUGUGGACAGGAUCAGGUGGUAAACUUAGCCAAUAGUAUGUUUUUAUAAUUUUUCCUGCUCUAACUGAGUAGCCUUUGUGACGGACCAAGGCUAGUAUUCUUAGGAGAAAGACCUGUUUUCUACAAGAGGCAAUUUAACUUAUUUAUUUAUUUGAUCAACAUAUUAAAGGAGCAUGAUCACGAUUUUGGUCAAAUUUUAUUUUUCGAUUUAUAUUGCUUAUAAUGCUUCAGUCAGCAUUUCUAAUAAUCAAAUAAAAUUUGAUAGUUAUUCGCAGAGUUAAAAGCAAGAUAAAGGGCUCACAAUUCUUUGUCAUGUAAACAAGGCUCGUGCCCUGUUUUUGUUUACAUAGAUUCAAUACAUCAGUAACAAAUCUUUUUCCAGCUUAUUUGUCUAUCUUUUUAUUUAUUUUAGGCAUGGAUAAACAAUUCCUAACGUUUAAUACAUUCGUUUUAAGUUUAAAACUGAAAUUUUUAUUUCAGCGUUCAUAAUGUAAACAAACGCUUUGUUUACAUAGCGAAGAAUUUCAAGCUCUGUAACUCGCUUAUAACUCAACAAAUGACACUCAAAUUUAGGGUGCCUAUUAAAAAUGCCUUUCUGAAGCAUUGUGAAUAUUAAAAUCGGAAAAUAUUUUUUGACCAAAAUCGUGACCAUGCCCCUUUAAGCUGGAAGCACUCAGUUAUAGUAAGUUCUAUUUUUUGGUAUUCUUGAACAUUAAUAAAUAAUUUAAUAGAUAAUAAUAAUAUUUUCUGUUAAUUGGUACAUUUGGCUAAUUCUACUUUUUGAGGUUAUAAUACUUUAUUUAUGAAAGAAUGGACGUAUUUUAUAAAUUAUCCCAGUAAUUCAUACUUUUGAUAUCUAAGCUAUAGUAUCUCAUUUAUAAUAUAUGUGAAAGGUUAGUUAUUGUUACCGUAUUUAAUACUUGUAGUUAGAGAGUACUACCAUGAUCAGAUUAAUCAGGAUUGUGAAACCUUGUUCCAUAAACAGGUGAUCGUUGCAAAGUUAUAUUUUCAUAUUUAUUAUAUGUACCUUGAUAUAAUGUAAUCUACAAAUGAGCUACAUUGAAAGUUUGUUCAAUUAAAUAUUAAUAAUGAUAUAGAGCAUAUUUCUAUAUUUUUGUAAAUUGUGUUCAAGGGCAGUAACUCUUCUUGACCCUGAAAUUAUGAUGCAUUAUAAUCAGAGUUAUCCUUCUUUACAAAUAGUUUGAUUAGUGAACUCUGAGCAUUAAUGUAUUUCAUGAAUAUGUAAUUGAAUAUGAUUGUAUAUUUUUAUGCUGAACCUUAUUGUAAACAUUGAUCCUUUUUAUGCUGAUAUCUAUUAAUUAUAUUACAGGGUUUAAUCCUUUAAAUCCAUGUAUCUGAAUAAAUGAAGAACCAUU